rnacentral:rRNA from 1 species
GGGGAAUAUUGCACAAUGGGCGCAAGCCUGAUGCAGCCAUGCCGCGUGUAUGAAGAAGGCCUUCGGGUUGUAAAGUACUUUCAGCGAGGAGGAAGGCAUUAAGGUUAAUAACCUUAGUGAUUGACGUUACUCGCAGAAGAAGCACCGGCUAACUCCGUGCCAGCAGCCGCGGUAAUACGGAGGGUGCAAGCGUUAAUCGGAAUUACUGGGCGUAAAGCGCACGCAGGCGGUCUGUCAAGUCGGAUGUGAAAUCCCCGGGCUCAACCUGGGAACUGCAUUCGAAACUGGCAGGCUGGAGUCUUGUAGAGGGGGGUAGAAUUCCAGGUGUAGCGGUGAAAUGCGUAGAGAUCUGGAGGAAUACCGGUGGCGAAGGCGGCUUUCUGGACUGUAACUGACGCUGAGGCAUGAAAGCGUGGGGAGCAAAC